rnacentral:lncRNA from 1 species
AAAAAUUAAAAAAAAAAACUCACGAUAAACAACCAAAAAUAGUAUAAGCAUAACAUUACUAUUUUAUUACUAUAUAAUUUUAAAGUGAUUAGAAAAUAAGAUAUAGAAAAUGAUACAAGUUAUAAGUUGAAGUCUUUAUUGCUACAUGCAUUCUUCUAAGUAUGAAUUCAACUAAUGCUUUUUGAAAAAACGAAGAUUCCAA